UGGGGAAUAUUGCACAAUGGGCGAAAGCCUGAUGCAGCAACGCCGCGUGAGUGAUGAAGGCCUUCGGGUUGUAAAGCUCUGUCUUUUGGGAUGAUAAUGACGGUACCAAAGGAGGAAGCCACGGCUAACUACGUGCCAGCAGCCGCGGUAAUACGUAGGUGGCAAGCGUUGUCCGGAUUUACUGGGCGUAAAGGAUGCGUAGGCGGAUUUUUAAGUGAGAUGUGAAAACCCUAAGCUUAACUUGGGGACUGCAUUUCAUACUGGAAAUCUAGAGUGCGGGAGAGGAGAAUGGAAUUCCUAGUGUAGCGGUGAAAUGCGUAGAGAUUAGGAAGAACACCAGUGGCGAAGGCGAUUCUCUGGACCGUAACUGACGCUGAGGCAUGAAAGCGUGGGUAGCAAACAGGAUUAGAUACCCUGGUAGUCCACGCCGUAAACGAUGAGUACUAGGUGUAGGAGGUAUCGACCCCCUUCUGUGCCGCAGUUAACACAAUAAGUACUCCGCCUGGGAAGUACGACCGCAAGAUUAAAAACUUUAAAAUGAAUUGACGGGGGUCAUAGCUGUUUUUCCC
rnacentral:rRNA from 1 species